GACGAACGCUGGCGGCGUGCUUAACACAUGCAAGUCGAACGGAAAGGCCCAGCUUGCUGGGUACUCGAGUGGCGAACGGGUGAGUAACACGUGGGUGAUCUGCCCUGCACUCUGGGAUAAGCCUGGGAAACUGGGUCUAAUACCGGAUAUGAUCAACUGUCGCAUGGUGGUUGGUGGAAAGCUGUUGCGGUGUGGGAUGGGCCCGCGGCCUAUCAGCUUGUUGGUGGGGUAAUGGCCUACCAAGGCGACGACGGGUAGCCGACCUGAGAGGGGAAUCGGACACACUGGGACUGGGACACGGCCCAGACUCCGACGGGAGGCAGCAGUGGGGAAUAUUGCACAAUGGGCGCAAGCCUGAUGCAGCGGCGCCGCGUGAGGGAUGACGGCCUUCGGGUUGUAAACCUCUUUCACCAGGGACGAAGCGUGAGUGACGGUACCUGGAGAAGAAGCACCGGCCAACUACGUGCCAGCCGCCGCCGUAA
rnacentral:rRNA from 1 species